AAGUCGUAACAAGGUUUCCGUAGGUGAACCUGCGGAAGGAUCAUUAACGAAUAUCUAUGGCGUUGGUUGUAGCUGGCUCCUAGGAGCAUUGUGCACGCCCGUCAUUCAUAUCUUUCCACCUGUGAACCAUGUGUAGGCCUGGAUACCCCUCGCUUUGGCAACAAAGCGGAUACAAGGAUUGCUGCGUCGACAAGGCCGGCUCUCUUUGAAUUUCCAGGUUCUAUGUCUUUUUACACACCCCAUUUGAAUGAUUUAGAAUGUAGUCAAUGGGCUUUCAUGCCUAUAAAAAACUAUACAACUUUCAGCAACGGAUCUCUUGGCUCUC
rnacentral:misc_RNA from 1 species